UCUAAUCAGGAGCAGGAAUGUGCCAGGCUCAUUACUGAAAUUAAAUUCACCUCCAAUUAAAGAGAGAGCUACAAGCUUCCACCAUACAGCAGUGCCCCCCGGGCAGCCCCUCCCCAAAAACAGCCGCUCCGGUCCUGCUAAUCGCUGGGGCUGCUGGACGCCAGAGGGCUUUCCAGGUGCAAGGAAGUGAAUUGCUGCUUGUGCUUUCCCCGAGGCGCUGCAAGGAGAUUGCUGAUGCACUUAAUAAGUCACCCAGUGAGGCAAAAGCAACUUGGGUGGAAGGAUUUCCUGAGAGCACUCGCUGGGAGAAAGCAGAGGACGCAGUGGUUGGAACAUCUCUGCCAUGGGAUUGCUCCUGGGGUCUGUGGGCGCCUUUACAGAUGCUGAGCUGAAUCGUGCUUUGGGACCGACGUGUCCCGUGUCUGCACUUUGGAGCAGGUUCACUCCGAGCAAAUGGGCUUUGCGAAGAGAACAGCGAGGUCACAAAGCUGAGCAGGACUGCACGUGGCAUCCCUGCCCUUCUUCUCCCCCCCAGCACUCAGAGAAGGGCCAUUCUACAAAGAUUUUGGCUUGGCUCUCACUUGGAGGUGGCCAACGUGGUGGUAGGCGGAUGGUUGGACACGAUGAUGAUUUUCCCACCUGAAGGAUUCUAUCGAUCUCAGUCUGUACACCGGGACAAAGCUGGGGGUGGUACUGCGUGGCAGCAAUGUGAUGGCAAGCCAUGGUGCGCUCUGAGGAUGUAUCCAUCUGCAUCCCUUUUUGGAAGGAAUUUUCACCUGAAAUCCCACAUUUUUAAAGAGUUUUGGGGAUCGGGGAGGAGACAGAAUCACCUUUAUGUCUGUUUUGUACAUGGUGCUUCCAAAUAAAUACCAAAAUGAAGUGUUCAGAAUUUGUUGAAUUAUUACAUGCAUUUAGAGAGGGCGAGGGGAGCAUCAGGUCCACCUCUGAAACUUCGAAUCAAGCUCUGUCAGACGGAGCACCGCUCUCCUCAUUCCCAUUGAAUUCCAUCACACUCCAUGAGCAUCUUAUCAAGAGCUACGGGAGGCCCUGACAGCUUGACAUGAAAUUUCUGCAAGUGCUGCUUGCUCAGGAGCUGCAAGCACAAAGAG
ensembl:lncRNA